AAGGCAAAGAAGGCAUCUGUAUGUCUGCAGCCCAAGUCGCACACCCGACGCUCUCCAUCCCCACACGCAACCUCUUCCUCUCCUCCGCAUCUUCCUUCAGGGGCCCUUGCGGCUACAGCAGAGGGCAGUCUAGGGGGCGAGCAGGAUGGGGGACAACCGAUUUCUUCGCCGGAUCUGAAGCCCAGGGGCGACGCCGACAAGUAACCGGCGUCAAUGUCGCCGCCGCCGUCGAGUCGAACGGAGGGUGGCUGUCCCUUGUAUGGUCUUCUGACGACGCGCGGCCGUGGAGCGGCCCGGGCGUGCACCCUGACUACUCGCCCGAGGCGGGUGCUUCCGGCCGAGCGCCGGCCGCGGCGGCGAAUUCCCGAAGACGGGUAAUUGUCCCCUGUUGAUUGUUCUGUGGCGUCUUGAUGAAUUCUGCGUGUUGGAAGGCUGCUGGAGAACAAGAACUGACGCCGUAUGAAAGGCUGCCGGAGAGGGAGGCCGCUCUGAAUUCAUCUGUCUGUACCAAGUAAGCAGGCAGUUCGUCAUCGUUCGUGAGUCUGUUUUGUUUGAGCUGACCUUCAUCCGCAGUCAAGCAGGGCAAUGGGAUCUCAUCCCUGAUAUGUGCGAUUCUUCUCAGAGUGGUGAUUUCUCUCCGCCAAGAAGACAUGGCAACUUGUGUAGAAAGAAUAAGGCUACAUCGGAGGGAUACAUGAUCAGCACACAAGAGACUCUGAAAUACACGAGCAUGAUGAUGAUUGUGACAGAGGAAGUGGAGGAAGAGAGCACAAAGAUGUCUGGCUUACAUCAAGGCUAUUAUCUGGCUGCUUAGCAACAGCUUGCAUCCAUCCUCUCUUUAUUGAUGGCCUGGAGAUUUUUUAUGAGGGGAAUCAAAAGGUUGCCGCAAUUUCUGAAAUUUCUUCCCCAAGUGAGCUGCAACUCAUACAGCUAGACAAUGUGGAAGUAUAACACAGUGAUUCACUUACCAAGGUGAUUGGCAGUUCCAAGGACUCGGCGAACGCCUUUUCGCUGAUGACAGCUUCCUUGCCAAGCUCGUUGUAGAGUGCAGCGUCAGGUAUUGCCAAGGUCUCCGUCUACGUCAACAGCCGCUACUUCUUCUAUGACACCCGUGAGAGGGACGUUGUCUACGUCCUACUAUGAUGGCGAGCCACGAUGGUGCCGAUGAGAAGCUGCUCGAGCAGGCGAAGGCGAGUGUCGACUCGGCGGGGGGCUGCUAAGGGUAGUGACAGUAAUAAGAGUUGUCUGUAAUGCAUUUGACUUGCCAUGAGGUUGUAUCUCCAUAUGUGCCAUGCAUACCUAAUGUCCUCCAUACAUGUGCACAAAGUAUGCUUGCUUUCCUAAAAAAUAUUAAUCUGUGAUGAACUUA